rnacentral:rRNA from 1 species
UACGUAGGUGGCAAGCGUUGUCCGGAUUUACUGGGUGUAAAGGGCGUGCAGCCGGGCUGACAAGUCAGCGGUCAAAGCCCGGGGCUCAACCCCGGCCCGCCGUUGAAACUGGCAGUCUCGAGUUGGAGAGAAGUAUGCGGAAUGCGCGGUGUAGCGGUGAAAUGCAUAGAUAUCGCGCAGAACUCCGAUUGCGAAGGCAGCAUGCCGGCUCCACACUGACGCUGAGGCACGAAAGCGUGGGUAUCGAACAGG